UAGUAAAUUUCAAUAUGAAUUUGAAAUUGAAAAUUAGAGAUCUACCUCUAAAACUAUAUUAAUUUAAAUUCAACAGUAAAUAGUACCGCGAGGGAAAGGUGAAAAGAUUUUUAAAUAUUUUAAAAGAAUCUGAAAUUUAAUGCGUAAUACAGUUAAUAUAUAAUGUAUUAACGUACCUUUUGCAUAAUGGACUAGCGAGUUUAUAUAUUUAGCGAGUAAUUUAUUUUUAUAAAAUUACGUAUUGAAAAAAUUUUAGUUAAAUAUAUAAGACCCGAAGCUAAGUGAUCUAACUAUGAUCAGAUUAAUGGUUUUAUACUUGAGGAUCGAACCCAUAAAUGUUGCAAAAUUUUGGGAUGAAUUGUAGUUAGGGGUGAAAGGCUUAUCAAACUUAGUUAUAGCUGGUUUUCUACGAAACCUAUUUAAGUAGGGUAAUAUAAUAAUAAAAUAUAGGUUUAAAUAACUAUAUUAAAAAUUAAUAUAUUAAUUUUAAAACUAGUAUAUACUAAUUAUAUUUUAUUAUAAUAUUAACCAGACUAUUAGCGCUAAGGUUUUUAGUCGAGAGGGAAACAGCCCAGAUUAAACGAUAAGGUCUAUAAUAAUAAAUAAUUAUGAAGAUUAAAUUAAUAUUAAUCUAAUAAGAUGUAGGCUUGGAAGCAGCCAUCAUUUUAAAAAAGCGUAAAAGCUUAAUAUUAGAUAUAUUAUAAUAAUAAAAUAAUAAAUAUUAAUUUUUUCAAAAAUUUAAAGAAUAAUUUUUAUUAACCGAAUCGAUAAACCUAAGGUGGUAGUAGAAUGUUUUGUAUAAUUUAAAUAAAAUUGUAAAAUUUUAUUAUUUAUCAAAAAUAAAAAUGCUAGUAUGAGUAGUAGACAUAGUGUGUGAAUCACUAUCGCCUAAUGUACAAGGGUUACUAAAUUUGAUAAUCUUAUUUAGUGUAAUACGAUUUCUACAAUUAAAGUGUAUAAUUUAAUUAAUGAAUAAUUUAUUUAAAAUUUUUUAAAUUAUUCUUUUAAAUAUAUUAAAUUUUUUAUAUUUAUUGUAUAAAUAAUUAAAACUGGAAAUGUUUAAAUAAAAUAAAUCGUACUAACUCUAACACAAGUGUACAAAUUGAAUAUAUAAUGGCGAAGGAGUUAAAAAUAUUGAAGGAACUCGGCAAAAUUACCUCGUAACUUCGGGAGAAGAGGGACUAUAUGUAUCUAAAAAGAGAGAGCAGCGACUGUUUAAUAAAAACAUAAGAUUUUGCUAAAUUUAAAUAUGAAGUAUAAAAUCUGACACCUGCCCGGUGCUGCAAGGUAAAAAUUUUUUGGUUAACGCUAGAAUAUUAAACCCCAGUAAACGGCGGCCGUAACCCUGACGGUCCUAAGGUAGCAAAAUUCCUUGGCGGGUAAGUUCCGUCCUGCAUGAAUGGUGUAACGACUGCUCUGCUGUCUCCAAUAUUUGCUCUACGAAAUUGAAUUUUCCGUGAAGAUGCGACAAUAUUACAACUAGACGGGAAGACCCUAUGCACCUUUACUAUUAUCUAUAAUUAAUUUUUUAAUAUAUUUAACUAGAUAAGUAGGAGGUUUAAACUAAAAAUGGAAAACUACUUGAAUAUAUUUUAAAAUUAAAAAUAAAAUUAAUAUUAUUUAUUAUAGAGAGAUAGUUUGACUGGGGCGGUCUCCUCCUAAAAAGUAACGGAGGAGUAUAAAGACUUAGGUGUAUUUUAUUUAAAUUAAAAUCAAUAUUAAAAUGAAUUUACUAAGUUUGAUUAGAGUACUUACAAGUAUUCUAAGGAUAAAAUGUCUAUCAUAUUGACCCGAUAUACUUUUGUAGAAAAAAUAUCGAUCAACGAAUAAAAGGUACGCUAGGGAUAACAGGCUUAUGAGUUUUGAGAGUUCUUAUUAAUAAACUCGUUUGGCACCUCGAUGUCGGCUCAUCACAUCCUGAUGGUGAACAAUCUAUCAAGGGUCCGGCUGUUCGCCGGUUAAAGUGGUACGUGAGCUGGGUUUAAAACGUCGUGAGACAGUUUGGUCCCUAUCUGUUGUAAUAAAAAGAAAAAAUAUAAUUAUUAACUUUAGUACGAGAGGACUAGGAAAAUUUAAUCACUGGUUAAAAAAUUAUCUUAAUAAAUAAAGGUACAGUUUUUAUGCUACAUUAAAAAAAAUAAUAGCUGAAACAUAUAUAAGCUAGAAUUUUUAUUAUAAUUUUUUCUAAUAAACUUUUUGAUGACAACAAAAUUUAUAUUUUAUAAACAGACGAAGUUGUAAGAGAUGAUUGUUUUAAAAUAUAAAGUUUAAUAUAACUAUAGUUUAGUUUUUUUA
rnacentral:rRNA from 1 species